CAAAUCAGAACACUCCCCAACCCUAGCCGUCACCAACCAUCAGCAGCCUCUAAGCGGCGGUGCGGCGGCGAGGCGGUCAGGCGGCGCGUCGGGCGCGCGGCUGCGGCGGCUAGGCGGCAGCGGCGUCCGGCUGUGGCGUGGCCGCGUCGCCGGAGCAUCCCAAGGUUGAGGCGGAGGUGGCGAUGACGACGGCAGCGAUCCGACGCCACGAGGUCGGGGAAGAGCAGAUCGGGAGGAGACACGGUGCCCAGAUCCCAAAAAGAGGGCCCACAGAUCGGGGGGAGACCGUCGCCAGCGUCUGCCCCUCCGCCGGCACCACAGGAACAGCCGCAGCAGCAGCGCCAGCGGCCGCCGCCGUCAUCUUCAGCCUCCGACGCCGCGCCGGACCCGAGGAUCAGCACGACCAUUGGACCAGCACCGCCGCAGCCGCUCGACCCGUCCCUCUCGUGGCUCUCGGCGCCGGCGAUCUCCUCCGGCCGGUGGUGGUGCAGCUGGCAGUGGCCGCCACAUCGCUGCGAGUGGAGCUGCUUGCUGGCCACCAUUGUCAGUCUCACCUUGCAAUCUUCAGAUAACUACUUGCAACAACAACUGCAAGCACCUGAUUUUAAGUCAGGUGACCAUGCAAGGCAAGGCACUAAGGCUGCCAGACCAGAAUGCAUUAGAUGGCAAAAGCAAGAUAGUUUGGUGGAAAGAUAUGAAAGACCACUUUGACAAUACUACUGAUAAUUUGAUUCUACCAGCACCGAAGCAGAUAUCUAUGGUCUAGCUGCGUCGAACCUUGUUGCUGGAAGCAAUUUAGAAGGGACUGUUCAGUCAAUUCUUGAAAUGGGUGGAGGAGCUUGGGACCGUGACACUGUUAUGCGUGCUCUGGGAGCUGCAUACAACAAUCCAGAACGGGCUGUGGAGUAUUUGUAUACUGGGCUUCCUGGGCAAGCUGAGGCCUCUGCCGUAGUUCAAGCACUUUCUGUCCCUGCUGCAGUUCAAGCAUUUCCCACGAGUGGCUAACCAGUUGAUUUGCUAAUUUGCUGAUUUGCUGUGUUUAAAUUUUGUGUUGUAUUGGAUGUUUGUCGGGUUGUGAUGGAUGCUAAUUGGGCUGUAACCUUUGUGCUAUAUGGAUUGUUAGUGUUUGAUUGUUGGGCCUAUAUGGGCUUAGCCCACUUGUUAUUUGAUUCUAAUAUAAUGAAUAUGAUAUGAUGGGUUGAAAA